UCUUAUGAUCGGGAUUACCAUCGUUGGGAGUCUGACUCUAGUGGGUCCAGUGGUGAUAGUCAGCGGCGUGGUUCUCGUUCAGGACGAUCAUCUCGGGCCGAGUCUCCACGUUCAGUUUCCUCACGGUCGAGCUCGCGGGCUCGACGAAGUAACUACCGCCACUCGAAACGAACGGUCUACGACUAUGAAGAUUCUAAUCGCAGAGGCGAGGACUAUUAUGGUCGAAGUCACCAAUCAUCUCGUAGCUCAAGACGAUUGAGCUCAGGAAGUUACAGCUCAUCCACAUCAAACUCUCUGGGAGACAGCAUCAAGUGGGAUGACCAGAACAAGCAACAACAGAGUAGUGCAAUCACCGCUGAAGAUACGGUUAAACGGGUAAUUACUCCUGAACGACUAACCCCGAAGCAGCAUACAAAACAUCAUAUUGUUGGAGCGUUUUCAACCGCCUCUCGAUUGAGUGUUGCUC